rnacentral:lncRNA from 1 species
GGGUGUAAAGACCCGAUUUUUUUUCGGACCACUCCUAAAGCCAAACAAAACAGGGAAACAAAGAAAAAAAGUCCCGAUUGGACUCUGUUCCUCCCCCUCCCUCUCCCAUGUCCGACAGCAUCGGGGAAUGGAGGCUCAAUUCGAGCCAAAUGGCGCCACAAACCCUAGAAAAAUCUUCUCUUUAAGAAGCUUGUCACCCUCCAUUGAGUUCCAUCGAGAUUUCAUCGAGAAAUCAUUGACGAGCACUGUGGAUUUCUCUAGCUGGGUUUCGUCGGGAAAGAUCAUUGGAUUUUCUUCUCGUCUAAGUCGUUGGACCGAGGUAGCUACUCUCCUUCUUCUUCUUGUUCUUUUUCUGGUGCCCACCAAAACCAGUUGCCGUCGUGCGGUAUUGAACUGACAAGCCACCGGUUGGGUUUGAACAGAGGGUUGCUCUGUUCGACUUGUUUUUUUCCUUUGUCUGGGGUUUCACCACCUUCCGCUGACUGUAGCCGCCGACGGGAUGUUUCCCCUUCUUGCUGCCCUGAGUGUCGUUUGGUCACCGGCCUCAAGGCCUUCAGUGGCCAUAGUUGGGAGAGAACAGGGACGUGUGGAGCGUUGGGGGGAGGUGAUGUUGGGGCGGGGCGUCCCUAUUUCAACGAAGAAGAAAGGAAGAGAGAGUUGUUCCUUCUCUGUCU